ACUCAAAUGAAUUGACGGGGACCCGCACAAGCGGUGGAACAUGUGGUUUAAUUCGAUGACAAGCGAAGAACCUUACCGAGGCUUGACAUCCCUGGAAUCCCCUGGAAACAGGGGAGUGCCGUAAGGAACCAGGUGACAGGUGCUGCACGGUUGCCGUCAGCUCGUGCUGUGAAGUGUACCGUUAAGUCGGUCAACGAGCGCAACCCCUGCUCUGAGUUACUAUGUCUCAGAGGACUGCCGGCGUUAAGUCGGAGGAAGGUGGGGAUGACGUCAAAUCAGCGUGGCUCUUACGCCUCGGGCUACACACAUGUUACAAUGGAUAGACACAAAGGGUCGCAAUAGCGUAAGCUGGAGCUAAUCCCAUCAAAACUAUCCUCAGUUCGGAUUGAGGGCUGCAACUCGCCCUCAUGAAGUUGGAAUCGCUAGUAACCGUAGGUCAGCUACACUACGGUGAAUACGUUCUCGGGUCUUGUACACACCGCCCGU
rnacentral:rRNA from 1 species